AGAGUUUGAUCAUGGCUCAGAGCGAACGCUGGCGGCAGGCUUAACACAUGCAAGUCGAGCGGGCGUAGCAAUACGUCAGCGGCAGACGGGUGAGUAACGCGUGGGAACGUACCUUUUGGUUCGGAACAACACAGGGAAACUUGUGCUAAUACCGGAUAAGCCCUUACGGGGAAAGAUUUAUCGCCGAAAGAUCGGCCCGCGUCUGAUUAGCUAGUUGGUGAGGUAACGGCUCACCAAGGCGACGAUCAGUAGCUGGUCUGAGAGGAUGAUCAGCCACAUUGGGACUGAGACACGGCCCAAACUCCUACGGGAGGCAGCAGUGGGGAAUAUUGGACAAUGGGGGCAACCCUGAUCCAGCCAUGCCGCGUGAGUGAUGAAGGCCCUAGGGUUGUAAAGCUCUUUUGUGCGGGAAGAUAAUGACGGUACCGCAAGAAUAAGCCCCGGCUAACUUCGUGCCAGCAGCCGCGGUAAUACGGGGGGGGCAAGCGUUGUUCGGAAUUACUGGGCGUAAAGGGCUCGUAGGUGGCCAACUAAGUCAAACGUGAAAUCCCUCGGCUUAACCGGGGAACUGCGUUUGAUACUGGAUGGCUUGAGUUUGGGAGAGGGAUGCGGAAUUCCAGGUGUAGCGGUGAAAUGCGUAGAUAUCUGGAGGAACACCGGUGGCGAAGGCGGCAUCCUGGACCAAUACUGACGCUGAGGAGCGAAAGCCAGGGGAGCAAACGGGAUUAGAUACCCUGGUAGUCC
rnacentral:rRNA from 1 species